GCAGCCCUGUGCUUGCUUCCAGCCUCCGCUCACCCCCGGGUCGGAACCCCGCUCCCCGCGCGGAGCGUCUGCGAUCAGAUAGAAGGGUGGAGGGGCUGGGCUCACUUUCGCAGCAGGCGGUGAUGCAGAAAUGUGGGCCAAGAUGACUACACACAGAUUCACUCAAGCUUCUGUUCUGUUGGAGAAAAACUGGAAACAACCGAAAUGUUUACCUUUAGGGAAAAGGCUUAAUAUGGUGGUAACCAAGUGUUACUUUAUUGCUUGAUGUGGAGCCUUUCUUCAAGUGGAAUAUUUUAUGAAAGUCUAAUGCACAGUUGGACCGAUUGAAGCUGGGCAGGGGGCUCUGUUGUAUCCCACCUGGACUGCCGGACCCAGUCAGUCCCUAGUUUCCCCUGUGAUGGCUCUUGGGGCACUUCAGUGGCAAACGUGCUCCAUGGCAUAGCAAGAGAGCCACCCACUUGGUCAAUUGUGAGAUAUUAGUAUCUGCCUUCCCCUCUCACGGGUGUAAUUAUGGACAGUUCUCUCCCUAAUUAUUUUUACUUUUCUGAACUUGCCAAAUGUUUCAUUAAUAUAUUUUUAUUGCCACUAAAAUAUUUAUCUUAAGAUAUUAAAGAUAAUGUCACUUUACUAUUUUAGAAUUAGAUGUAUGAGUGUCCUGAGGACCACAACACUUGUGUCAGCCCGGCCAGCAUAUUCUUCCCUCUUGGCAGAUCUCCAGGUUUAUGUGGAAAACCUUAUAAAACAGAAAAGCAAGACGAAGAACACCAAAACCACUGAUAAUCCAACCACCUAAAGAAAACUACUGUUAGUAUUUUUAUUUUUUUUUAAUUUUUUGGUCACAAUUCAUUUUAUUAAUAGAAAAUAAACCCUUAUUCCAGUUUCAAAGUUGUUAUACUUGAAGACACUAAUAAAAAAUGAAUUUAAAAUAA